AUAAUAGAGGCUUGUAACAUUUAUAAGUGCAGUGUAUCAGCUUGUCAAAUUGUUUCAGUAGGGCAGCAUGCUGGGAAGCUGAAAAAUUGGGUAAGUGAUGGUCUCAUUCUUAUUUUUUGAAAUACAGCUCUUCUGUACUAAUCAAGCUGGCCUUAAAAGUGAGAUUGGCUUAUUUAUUUGGAUUUCUCCGCCACCCGAGUUUGAGGACGCCUUGCAGCAUUUUAAAGCAGCACAUCCCACCCCUGGUUUCUGCCAUCCUUUUUGCAGCUGCAUUCCUUCAUGGUUCGUCCUCAUCUCCUCACCCCCCCACCCAAGACAUUUUUCUUGUUAGGGCUCUGCAAGACCCUCCCCAGGGCCAGGCUGCCCAUGAGGUGGACUGAAGCAGACACCUCAGGCAGUGAAAUCCUGUGGGGCAGUGCCCCACGGCCUCCCACCCUCUGCUGCUGCUGAGAGGGGCAUUGGAAGUUGGGUCUCACAUUCCCGUUUUGCCUCAGCCAAUGGAAUGGGACAGGCUGUCCCUGGAUCUCCCAGAUCUGAUUCAGGGCACAAUUUGACAAUCUUGAUCUGAGCCCAAUCCUGACUCAGGCCUUCAACUGAACUGGGGACCUGGCACAGUCCUAGCGAUGAGUAGUAAGGAGAAAUGGAGGAAAGAAGGAAAUGGUACAGUCUUGCACACAAUGUUUAGUUCUCAUGCCUCCUCACCACCUAACUGUAUGCUUAAUAUCCCCCACACUUUUGACAGUUCUGGAUCACUCUCAGUUGACCCAACCUGAUCCAGGACUGCCUUAACCCACCCGAGAGCAGUCUGGAUGGGCUCAAUGAAGUUUAGGAUCAGGUGAAGGGCAGGUGAGUGUGGCUAGGCCAAAGCAGCCUCACAGAUCAAAUGGAAGAGGUCUGCUGGGCCUUCAGGCUGGAGGAUCCCCACCUCUGGGUUGGAUAGUGUCACAAAUUGCUCUCACUACAUGAUUCACAAUUGGGUAGGUUUGUUAUUCUCAGGAAGAAGGCUCAGUUUAAAAAAAAAUGGUGCCAAGCAAUGGUCAGUUGGGGCCAAUCAGAAAUCCAAAAUCAAAGCAGGUGAACACUUAGGGCCACUUUAUCUUAAUAAUAAUUUAUAUUUUAUACCCUGCCCAUCUGGCUGGGUUUCCCCAGCCACUCUGUGUGGCUUUCAACAGAAUAUUAAAAUACAACCAUCAAUUAAACAUUAAAAGCUUCCCUAAACAGGGCUGCCUUCGGAUGUCUUCUAAAAGUCUGGUGGUUGUUUUUCUCUUUGACAUCUGUUGGGAGGGUGUUCCACAGGGCAGGUGCCACUACCGAGAAGGCCCUCUGCCUGGUUCCCUGUAACUUGGCUUCUCGCAGCGAGGGAACCACCAGAAGACCCUUGGCACUGGACCUCAGUGUCUUGGCUGAAUGAUGGGGGUGGAGAUGCUCCUUCAGGUAUACUGGACCGAGGCUGUUUAGGGCUGUAAAGGUCAGCACCAACACUUUCAAUUGUGCUCGGAAAUGUACUGGGAGCCAGUGUAGGUCUUUCAAGACUGGUGUUAUGUGGUCUUAAGUCUAAAUAAUUAUAAAUCUCCUCCAGUCCCUUGGAAUACUUCCAGAGCCACAGCCACAUGAAGUACGCCAAUGCUGUCCAUUGCUGAAACUUAACAGCACAGCUAUCGCAAAUACCCACACGAUCAGAAAUGAAGACAUGAUUGAAACUUUGGACUUUAUGGAAGCCCUUCCUCAUCAGACACUUGCAAAUCCCUUUUCACCAGCAGCAGGCAAGGCAGCAAUGAUUAAAACUUGAUGUGGUUAAUAUGCUUUAAGUGGAUUAGACAGCCAAUGAUAUACUGAUUACCCCAAAGCCACUAAGUCUGUGGAGCACUGAUGAAAAUGGAUUACAUGCUUUGCCAGAACUCACACAGUGUUAUAUACCAGUAGUGUUAGCUUAAAAGCAAUUCAUAUAUCACUUUCAGUCGCAUGAGAGAGACUUCCACAUAGCUGUUUCCUUCAGUGAUUGUGUAACAUGUAGUCGAGAACCACGUGGGAGAAGCUAACAUGUCUCCUCAGCUUGAGAAGAUCAUUCUGGGGCAGGGAGGAAAUCAUCUCAUUGGCCCUUACUACACAGAUCCAAACAUUUGCAGAACUGGGUGGGAGGUAGCCCUAGGCAUAUCCUAGCUGAUAGUGAACAAUCAGCCCUCAGUAAUGAGUAUAUGCAGGUCCAUAUUUUCCUGGAGGAGGAAUGUCCAGGGCCUGACUUACAAGUCCAGAGCCAGUCCACACACAAAGUAGGGUUGGGGAAGAAAUCUAAUUCUGCUUUCAUUCAUAGACAACCUUACCUAAUUCACACUUUUUAAGAACAACCCUGAAACACAGCCAUUUUUCAAAAAAGGAUGCACUUCUCUGAAUUUUGUAAUUUGGGAUCCCUUGCAGCAUUACACAGUAAUGUAUAAAGAAGAAGAAGUAUAUACUAGGGUAAAGGAAUUAUAUAUUUUUGAAAAUGGCAUGCAAAAAUGCAUUAUAUAAGGCUUAAUUGCUUUUGAAAAUGCAUAAGGUAAAAUUGCAUACAAAAAUGUGUCUGUUAGGAUGAAUUCACACUAAAAUGCUGGUGAAUUUUCAUGAGCAGCUUUAAAAAACAAAUCACAAACAUGUGGAAAUAUUGAGAACUCACCUUCUCAGUGGGAAACAGAGAAACCAAAAUUCACGGAUUCUCCACCCCCAACUGAGAGCCUGUUCUUGGGCCAAUUAGCUUAAAAACUGGGGUUGUUUGGGAAAUUUGAUCAUUGUGAUAUGAAGUGACCUGAGUCACACCUUUUGGACUUAUUUAUGAACCAGUUAUCUGCUGGAUUUUCCAUUUCUCUGAAUAUGGUGAAGCUGUUUUCAGCAUUUUAAACUUUUCAAAAUAUGCAAUUUAAAAUGUUUUUAAAUACUUCUUCCACUUCACAUUAUUAUAUCAAUUUAUAUUAAUAUUGAAACUAUACAUUUAAAUAUUUUGAGAGGAAGUUUAGAGAGGAAUAAGAAGUGCCAGGAAAAUGCCAGUUUUGAACAUUUUACAUAGUUGGUUAAACUGGUUUUAAUGGUUUCAUUGUUUUAUUCUCUUUGUAAACCACUUUGAAGGAAUUUCCCCCUCAAACAAGCUGUGUAUAAAUUUUAUGACAUAAAUAAAUGUGGAAACACAAUAAAAUGAAAUUAUAGGUAGCAUACAAACACACAUUUACACACACAAGUUACUCAGAAUGGAAAUAGAUUCACUAUCCCUUCUCUGUUCUUUACAGUGAACUCAACUGAGCAAUUGCCAUCUCAGUGUGUCAUCCUGCUACAAUAUGUAUCCUCAGUAAUUCAUGUCAUUUGUAGAUUUCAGAGUAACUGGCAAUAUCAUUUUUAUAACUCUCCUACAAAUUACUUUUAUUACUUCGUAGCAGACAAAAACCAGACCCAACUUUAACUUGGGAUGGGUGGAAAUUUCAAUUUCAGUUUCUCUCGCAUUCUCAUUUUUUCCCAAUCUGAAGGUCUGUUUUCCACAUUUCCACACUGCUUUGCAAUUUAUUAGGAGUGUACAAGCCUGGGAUGGCCUAUUCUGACUGACAGAAACUCCAGAGUUUCAGACAGAGUUAUUCCCGCCCCCUGCCCCAAAUCUGUUACCUGUUUCUCAAUUGCCACCCUCAAAGAAGGCAAGGAUUGAAUCUGGGACCUGCAACAUAUGUUCUCACACACUGAACUAAAUUCAUCAUAUGAAACUCAACUGAGCAAGUGAAUUCUGCAGUUAAGAGAUUAAUUUCAUCGAAUGUUUGAGCUUCUCUAGUACAUUUCACAAGAAAUGAGCCACUUACUAGCUUAAGGGGCCCUGUACAGACCUGCUCAGAGCUCUCUAUUUAUUGAUAUUGUGAGGUUACCCCCACACUUGAUAUAACCAAGUCCAAGGUGCAGUCAACAACCUGCACAAAUGUUUUUAAUUGAGGUUGCGGUAAGCGUAGGAGCAUAAAUUAUCAGAAUUCCACAUGACUUGGAGUGCUAUUCCAUGCAUGCAAUUUCAUGGAAGCUGCAAAGUUCUAAAUAACUUGAUCUGGACAAGCCUCAUUACAUUAAAUACCAGUUUUGUUUGGGUUUUUACUGACCUGUGCAUAUGCGUGUGCAUGUGUGUGUGUGUACACUUUAAAAUAAACAUAGGCAAAUCCAAACCAUCUUUUUAAAAUUCUGAUCCUAACCACAGCUUCAGCUGAGUUGUGGUGCCUGCAGCUUAGAGUGGGGUCACACCCACACGAUAUAUUUAAAGUGUUCUUAUACCAUUGUUCAAAGUCACAGCUUCCCCAAGAAAAUCCUGAGAACUGUAGUUUAUUGAGGGUGCUGAGAGUUAUCAGGAGACACCUCAAAGAGCUACAAUUCCCAGCACCCUCAACAAAACACAGUCUCCAGGAAGUUAAAAGUGGUAAGUGAGGAUUCCCAGGUAAGAUCCUCCCUCUAUUGUGUGGGCAGGUAGUCCCUCCCCUACCUGGCCUGGUCUCCUUGCAACGCUUCCCCCAGGUGGGAUUGGAUAGCUGACUGAGGUGGGCGGAGACCUCCAGGUAUCUCACCUGAGGGAAGGCGAAGCCAAGCCUAUGCUGAUGGAGCCGCUCCAGAUCCAAGGGCUGCGCGCGUCCAUGCAAAGGGCACCCCCUGUUUUAUGUGGGGAGCGGUCAUUAUUGUAUGGUGUGGAUGUAAAUGGUAGACUCUGCACAUCAACAGGAAGUCCUUUAUUACAGAUUCAGAACCUUGUAAGUGAUGUCUUAAGAGCAAAAUCAGAGCCAGCACUAUCAUGAGCCACCCUGAGCUACUUAUCACCAGUAUACAACUCCCAUCAUCCCUUAUCACUGGCUAUGCUGUUUGGGGCUGAUAGGAGUUGUAGUCCAGAAGCAUAUGGAUGACCACAGGUUGUGCACCCUUGCCCUAAGGCAAACAUAGUUCAAUGCAAUCACAUCUCCCUUGCAUGCAGAAGGUCUCAGGUUCACUCUCCAACAUCUCUAGUUAAAGGGAUUUCAUUGCAGGCAACGUGUGGAAAAUUCUACAUUAGUCGUGUCCAUUAUUUUCAAUGGUUCUACCCUGAGUAGGAUUAGCAUUGGCUGCAACCCCAUGAUUCUAGUCAUGUUCAGGGAGCAUGUUCCUGGGGGGGAACUGACUGGUUGGAAAAAGAUCUUUUUUUUCUAGUGUGCAUUGAUAAUACCUGCAGAAGCUGUUUUUAAAAAUAAUAAUAAAAAACCCUAUCACGUUCUCCUUGCAUCCCUCUCACAUGUGUAGCCAAGAAAUAAAUCCUUUGGAAAUGGAAAUCAGGCUUGAAGUAAACAGAUUAGUAAUGGUUAUUUGGUAACACUUUAUUAAUUAAAUGUCUUAAAUACAUUUAAACCUAGGCAUUUAAUUUAGAUUUAUAAGGAUAAUUUAGAUUUAUAAGAAUCAUUAUGAUACAUUAAGUACAGUAAAUGCCAAUUGAUUUUUAUAGACAAUAUUUACUGAGGUGUAACAAAAGCAUGAGAAAUGUAAUUAUCUGCACACUUACUUUAAAAGAUAGUAAGCAGAGUGGACUCGAGGACUAAAUUUAACCCCCUGUGUAAAACGAAUGCUAUCUUUUUGCGAUUUGCAACACAUUUUAACUGGGUCAAAGAGAUCUGCAAAUCUGUGGACACAGAGGGAACAAUCUAUAAUAUUUAUCAUGAAACUUGAGCUGCCUGGCAUCUAUUAUGAGGAAUGUUUGGGAGAGACCAUAAUAGGAACAUUGGUGAGAGCCCAUAGCUAACAGAGAAGGUUCCAGGUUAAAAACAGCAGUGUAAAAGUGAAUGUCUGACCUUAUGGUGAUCAUACUCAUAGACAGUGGUGGCUGAUGCCCACUGGGUCAGGUAGGCAGUAGCAGGUGGUGGGGCAGCACAGGCAGGGUGACAUUGCUGCCCCCAUCCCCAACUCCAAGUGUCUCUGUUGCUUCCUGCUUCCUGGGAGGGAAAGCUGCUCUUCUUCUUCACUGAGUUUAUAUACAGUGGUACCUCUGGUUACAGACGCUUCAGGUUACAGACUCUGCUAACCCAAAAAUAGUACCUUGGGUUAAGAACUUUGCUUCAGGAUGAGAACAGAAAUUGUGGUGGCAGCGGCGGCAGCGGGAGGCCCCAUUAGCUAAAGUGGUACCUCAGGUUAAGAACAGUUUCAGGUUAAGAACUGACCUCCAGAACGAAUUAAGUUCUUAACCCGAGGUACCACUGUACUGCCUUAUACCUGGAGGUUUCAUGGCGGUUCACGGAAAAUAUCACAACAUUUAUAAUCAGAAUAAAAACAACAACCCAAUAACACCCCCCCCAAAAAAGAGCCACAUUUUAAAAGGGUAAAGGUAAAGGUAACCCUGACCAUUAGGUCCAGUUGUGACCGACUCUGGGGUUGUGGCGCUCAUCUUGCUUUAUGGGCCAAGGGAGCAGGCAUACAGCUUCCGGGUCAUGUGGCCAGCAUGACUAAGCCGCUUCUGGCGAAACAGAGCAGCGCAUGGAAAAGCCGUUUGCCUUCCCACUGGAGCGGUACCUAUUUAUCUACUUGCACUUUGACAUGCUUUCGAACUGCUAGGUUGGCAGGAGCAGGGACCGAGCAACGGGAGCUCACCCCGUCGCGGGGAUUCGAACUGCCGACCUUCUGAUCGGUAAGUCCUAGGCUCAGUGGUUUAACCCACAGCGCCACCUGCGUCCCUUUUAAAAGGGUAUAGGAUGCCAAACAGAUCAACCAAAGGCCUGGUUAAAAAGGAACAUUUUUGGUGCCUAAAGGUGUAUAAUGAAGGUGCCAGGUGGACUUCCCUGGAGAGAGCAUUCCACAGAUGAGGAACCACUACAGAGAAGGCCCAUUCUCAUGUUGCCACCCUCCAAACCUCUCAAUGGAGGAGGAAGCACAUGAAGGAGGGCCUCAGAAGAUGACCUCAGGGUCCAGGUAGAUUCAUAUGGAAAGAGGCAGUCCUUGAGGUAUUGUGGUCCUGAGCCGUUUAAGGCUUUAUACAUCAAAACCAGCACCUUGAAUUGAGCCUGGAAACUAACUGGUAGCCAGUGCAUUCGGACCAGAAUCGGUGUAAUAUGCUCAAACUGUCUUGCUCCAGCGAGCAACCUGGCCACUGAAUUCUGCACUAGCUGAAGUUUCCGUACUGUCUUCAGAGGCAGCCUUACGUAGAACACAUCCUUAUUAUUCAUUUGCCUCCUUAUUAUUCACUUGAUUCCUGAUUAUUAACUUGCUCCCUAUUUUCUUUUAGAUGUAUAGAUAGGAGAAUAAACAAUGGCAUCACAUUACACUGUUGAUUCAUUCAGGAGGUCUUUGAAACAGCGUGUUAUUGGAUACCAAUCCGCGUUGACUGGGGGAAGUGAGGUUGAAUGAUUACUGUGGGAACUUGGCAACACUUUGUUGCUAUGCUCUUCCGGGAUACAGAUUUCUGGAGUUGCAUCACAGGAUUGAUUCUUCUGUUAGCGGAACUCAAUGAACAACAGAAUUAGCUCCCAUCAGUGGAUCUGCAUUACAUUCAAGCAAGAAUUAUGUUCUGGCUGCUCACAUGAGAAACCGCUGUCGGCCCUCCAUUUCAUUUGUUUAGAAUUCUAUUAAUAUAGCCAUUACAUAUUUCAGGGUGGGACUAAGCAGAGAGGAAUACAAGCUCAUUUCUGAAGAGCUGGUCAGAAGAGACAGAGAUGAGGUUCCUGCACCAUCACUGCCCAGCUUGAAGCCACACUCCAUUGUGGACAACCUCCCAAGAGUUCCAUGCCAAUGGGAGGUGGAGUCAGAGACAAAAGUAGUGGUGCAAAUAAUGCCAUUUUUACAAUUGUGCAGUGGUUAGUUUCUGCACACAGUCACACACCCCUUUGUAUUCCCUAUCUGGACAAGCAAAGGGCAUUAUCAGAAAUUUAAGAAUUAAAGAAAAUGUGGGAAGAUUGCCAAAAGUUGCUGAGCUUUUUUGGGGGAGGAUUGACCAGUUUUGUUGAACUUUUUUGCGGGGUGGGGGGGAAUCCCCACAGUUGUUGAACAAUUUUUUUUGGGGGGGGGGGAUGCCGAAAAUCACUCACCCAACUGACAGGCGCUAACUAUCACGACACACAUAAAAUUGCUGAAGCAGCAGCCAAUACAAAGCAGCCUUUCAGCAGACAGCAUUCAUCCACCCAACAGCAAGAUCCUGCUUGCAACUGCAACCAAUCGCCCGCCCCCCCUCUGCACUAUCCAUGUAUAAGACACCUUUCCCCCAAUUUUUAACUUUUUUUUUGAGUAAAAAACCCUUGUCUUAUACACGGAAAAGUGCAUUACAUCCAGUCCGGUGGGUGACACUGCCUGUCAGCUUCCUCCUUCUUAGUCUCAGUGUUGUCUUUGUAGAGUUCAGCAGGGAGAAAGAUAGGCGAUAAAAACUAGUUGCCUCUGCCUGCCACCAUCUCUGGUUUCCCCGUAUUGAUGGUCUCCCCGCCUUCUGCCCUACCAGUCCAAAUGGGCCCCAGGCACCACUGCAUUCCAUUCAAAAACAGGAUGUGAAGCAGGGCCAGUAAGGGGGGUGGUCCAAUAUUUGUUGGAAGGGGGCGGGCCCCCUCAAUGUUGAGGGGCACUGCACGUGUCAUGUGUGUGAGAUGUCGUGCGCAUUGCACGACAGGCAUUGCAGCUUCAAUGGACGACUCCUCCAGAGUGCUUGGCCUCCUCCAGCCGACGUGACAACGCACACAUCUGACACCACACUUACGCAUCACACACCAGGCCCCUUCAGUCUUGGGGGCAGCCUGGCCCCUCUGCCAUUUCUGCUGCAACCAAGUUGUAUGAAUAUGCUUUGGUUGUAGCUAAUGGCAAAAAGCUUUCUGAGAACAGGGUGGAGGGUCAGGUCCGUGGAAGCCGGGGGAAAGAAGGACUGGUGUUUUUUGAGUUAUCGACACAGUAUGGUUUUAUUUUGUAUGUUUUGGGGAGUUUGUUCUGAAACUCAACAUAGUGGAACCUUGGGUUACAAACGCUUCGGGUUACAAAUGCUUCAGGUUGCAGACUCCGCUAACCCGGAAGUAGCACCUUGGGUUAAGAACUUUACCUCUGGAUGAGAACAGAAAUUGUGCAGUGGCGGCUCGACGGCAGUGGGAGGCCCCAUUAGCUAAAGUGGUACCUCAGGUUAAGAUCAGUUUCAGGUUAAGAAUGAACCUCUGGAAUGAAUUAAGUUCUUAACCCGAGGUACCACUGCAUUUUAUUUUUUAAGAAAAGCAAAUAGAUUUCCAUUCUCACUUGAUCUAGAAUCAUCUCUAAGAAUAUUAAAACAUAAGAAUAGCUCUGCUGAAGCAGGCCAAAAGGCCAUUUAAUCUAGCAACCUGUUGUCACAAUGGCCAACCAGAUGCCUAUGUUUAACCCAUAAGCAGGACCUGAGUGCAAAAGCAUCCAGCUGUUAGAGGGGGCUGCUGAUGGAGGGAAGAUGUCAGCACUCAAUCCUCACUAGUGUGUAGCUAGCUCUCAUUACAUGCAGAGACGAUUCAUUUUCCAAUUUAAUUUCCCUUUGUAAUAUCUACGGCAAUGCUGACAAUUUUAAUCUAGCAAUAUCUUAAUUUCAAUAGGAGGCUUCAUUUUUUUAAAAAAAAGAAUCCUGUAGAAAUAUCACCGCAUUGUUGGUGUUACUGUAGAUCUGAAUAUCAAGUAGUUAUUAAAGAAUAGAGCGUACAAUGCAAAGGAGCAGGUACCAGGGAAGAGAAAUCUAUUCAUGAAACAUUAAAGCCAACUUAUGUUAUGGAACUCUUCAUUCAUAAGUCAGAAAUCAUUCACAAAUCAACUAAUCAGAUCUGAAGAAGCACCUUGAAUAUUUGAGAUGUGUUGCCGAUUUGGACAGUUUUGCUGAACAAUGGUGGAUCACACCGGCGUUAGGGUGUGUUGAAUUUUUCAACUUUCAGAUUCCAAAAAUGUGGUGUGAUAAAAAGUCUCAACGUCACUUGGGAGUUAAAAACAUUUUUUGGUUAAAUUAAUAUAAUUUAGUUUGGCUUGGUAAGUAAGACGUGUGUAAAAUUGUAUAGAAAUCAUUGAAAAUGAUUGCCAAGUACUUGCAGUUAUUUUAUUUUAUCUAUCUAUUUUAUCUAUCUAUCAUAUCUAUCUAUCAUCAUCUAUCUAUCUAUCAUCUAUCUAUCUAUCUAUCUAUCUAUCUAUCUAUCUAUCUAUCAUCUAUCUAUCUCUAUCUAUCUAUCUAUCUAUCUAUCUAUCUAUCUAUCUAUCUAUCUAUCUAUCUAUCUAUUUAUCUAUCUAUCAUCUCUCUCUCUCUCUCUCUCUCUCUCUAUCAUCUAUCAUCUAUCUAUCUAUCUAUAUCUAUCUAUCUAUCUAUCUAUCUAUCUAUCAUCUAUCAUCUAUCAUCUAUCUAUCUAUCUAUCUAUCUAUCUAUCUAUCUAUCUAUCUAUCUAUCAUCUCUACCUGACAUUUUCUGAAGGUAAAGUUAAAAUUCUUUGGUUUUCCAAGAUCAGUUUAUGUGCUUUUUAAUCAAAACAUAGAUUUACCAAGUUGAAUGUUGUCCAAUCACAAAAAUAACAGCAUAUUUGAAUUCCUCACACCCAAAAACAUAUUUUUAAGACCUCUAGUGGAAGAAAUUUGCAAAAAUUAAGUGUUACAGCCUAAGCUGACAUGCCCUAACCAGCACGAAUAUUGUUAGAGAUAAUUCCAGGGCUGUUAAAUUUUUAACUUUUUCACCAGGCUCCAGAUUUCUUUCCCCUACCCCCCCCAUUUAAAAUAUCUUUAAAAGCUUUCUUACAGGCAGCUUUCUCUCUGAAGGUUGGCCAAAAUGUGCCUCUGUUUACACCACAAACACACGGAUAAAUUGCAAUUAUUUGAAAAUCACCUUUCAUUUCAAAUGAAUAUCAAGGCAGUUUACAGGAGGCCGCAGAAGGGCUGGGCUGGGCUCAUGGCAACUCCAUUGGAUGUUGAUUUAUGAGUAGAAUUAUGUUAUCCCUACGCCACUGUUGCCAUGCCUUCCUCCCCCAAAACUGCCACAAAAGUCAUCUUCCACUCAAGCCUGGUGGUAGAAGAGGAACACUGGGCAGAAAUCUGUUGUAGCCCUUGCAUUUUUCUCUCUGCACAAGGAGAUUAUUUCUUUAUGAAACUGCACAAAUAUUUCACAGGAGCAUGAAAGCAAAACAUCCGACCAUGAAUGCAUGUUCUGACAAGUGCGUUUUACCCAGAAAGUGUUCCCAAUGUCAAAUGGAUUAUACUCCAGCACCCAAUUUGUGCCAUAUAAUUCUCAUGUAAUGUCGCCCUCGGCAAUAAUAACGCAAGAUUUAAUAUUCACCUCGAUGCAGCCACACUGAAGAGUGUUCACUAAAAGGAAGGAGGCUGGCGGUGGGUGGGGGAAGUGUUCAGGUGCCCUAUUGCUGCAGGAACAAAAAGAUCCCCAAAACCCACCACACAGAUUUAGAAAUCUCAGAUCUCUGUAGCCUGAGCUGCUAAAAAGAGAGAGCGAAGCUGGUGGCUGGGGUUAAAUAAUGGGAUUUCCAUCAGCUGAAAUAGAAUUGGAGAGUCCCAUGCGUGAAAGGAGUACACGACAAAUGGUAGCUCAAUGUAUAACAUGAAGGGAAAGUCAAUCAUAUUUAUUUAUCCACGUUAAAUAUAACUAUCACAUCACAAGGUCAUGAGACGGCCAGCGGCUUUGUGCGGGGAAUAGAGAAAGGAGAGAAAUAAAGGGAGCUGAUUGAGUUUUGACCGAAAAGGUCCCGAGACGUGCCUGGAAUUCCACUCUAGGGUCGUUUCCAGAUGACCUGUUUCUUGAGCAUUCCUUCUGAUUUGAUUGUACAAACUUUGCGAGGAGGUUAGAUGAUACUAGGUCUUUAUUGAGUAUUUAUCCUGAUCUGUGUUUUGGGGAGAUUAGAUGGUAGUGUGUCAAGCAAAGUUUAUCCCACAUUUUCCACCCAUCAGGACUCUUAUCACAAAAAGUCUGAUUUGCGGGAGAUUGUCGAGAAAGAUGUCCCAAUCAACUGUACUUGUUCAACCUGAAUUUGCUGACAUGCGAUUGAAUCUCUCUCGAUAAUAGGGAGAGUCUGGAAGCACCAUGGAAAAUUAUGGUUUUGUUUUCUGAAUAUGUCCACAGAUCAUUAUUAAUUUUAUUUCCUUAUUUAACAUACUAAUUACCCACUCUUCAUUGCCGUGACUGAAUGGAAAGGUAGAUCUUCAGCUAUCUCCUAAGGCUUUGUAAGAGUUGGUACCAGUUAUAUCUCAGAGGGGAGUGAGUUCUAUAAUUGUGGUGCCACCUCUGAGAGGUCCCUCCCUCAGCUUGCUACAUAACACAUCACAGAUUAGUGAGUCAGGUUUAGUGGUUUCACUUAAAUCACCCAUGGGAAACCUAUGGCAUUCCAGAUGUUGUGGGGGGAGACCAAAGGCUGAAAAUGGAUGUUCUAAGGUAUCCUUUAAUAAAAGGCAGUCAAAAUUAGCUCUCCUAUUGCUUCAGUUGUACAUUUCUGUAGCGCUUAAAAAUCAUUUAAAGAAUUCAGUGCUUUAGUGUGAGUUUCUCCUGAUAAACACUUUUUUCUGCACAAUUUUGCCUAACAUCUGUACAAAGCAAUCUCCCCUAACAUAAUGCAACUUUAGUACAUUGUUUUCACUAAUUAUAGGCAUUUUUUAACAUUCUUCACCCUAACAUGCAUUUUUAUAUCCAACUGCACGGCAGUUGCGAAGUGUGAAUCGCCAAGGGUUGUUAUACAUAUUGUUUUAGAAAGUUCAAAUUGAGUCGUUUGCCUUUAACAGUGAAUGUAAUCACAUUUUUGCACCAUCCCAACCUAUAGCAGACCAUCAAAAACCCAAUUUGGAUCAUAGGGAUAUAAUCUGAGGAAGAUUAUAUUAGAGGAAAUAAAGCUAACAUCACUUUCUGCCUCCACUUGGCAUACACUUCUGUUUCAUUUGCUAGGGUCAGAGGAUGGGUAACUGGUCCACUCUGCUGCCCAGCCCAGUUGUGUAAUGUUGGCCUUAAUAUAGCUGACACAGAUGUGUUGCACAUCUUAUUUCCCCUUGAAAUUAUAGGAGUUCUAGCUACGAUCCUCACUAUCCCCAACAUCUGCAUAUAUCAUACAGCGCAGUGCCUUGGAGCCCGGUGGCUUACCCUCUUUCCUGCUGUCAGAGCUCUCCAUCACACACUGACCCUGGGGUGUUUGAUAUAUAUAUAUAUAUAUAUAUAUAUAUAUAUAUAUAUAUAUGCAACAACUAUAUAUCAACCUAUUAUUUUCCUUUAGGCACGUCACUAGAGAUGGAGGCCUUUGAAAGUGAAUGUCAAUACGAGCAUUGCAGACGAGUGUUGUCUGAGCAAAAUGAAAUUUAUAUAUCUUCAGAGCAGGGCAAAAGGGUUGAUUAAGGAGAUGAGAUUUCUAUUCCGGACUGGAGUCAUUUGCAAGAAGACUGUGACAGCCUGCUAGGGCCACUUCCUGCUAGGACCACUUUUCAUUUACAGGAGUGCUCCCAAAACUAACUCCCUAGACCAUAAUUGUAUCUCUUUCAAGAAAAUUGGAUCGAGCCACCCUUCCUCCACUGUUUCCUCCAGAGAGCAGAGAGAAGACAGAGAGCAAAGAUUCAAAUGGCCAAAAUCCUCAACAACAAAGUUUAAUCCUCCUCUCCUUCAUUCUCUAAUGUUGAACAAGAUGGAAACUGGAGUUGAAAAUAUCUAUCCCGCUGAAGUCACCAGCAUGAUAGGUGCUCAAGUCACCAACCUGGAUUGCUUUAAAACAGGAUUGGAGAAAUUAAUGGAGGAUAAGGAGAUCAGUGGCAUGGGGAGGCAGUAAUGCUUCUGAAUACCAGUUGCUGGGAAUCUUGCCUCGGUAAUGGACUGGGUGAGAGCCAAUGAACUGAAGCUCAAUCCAGAUAAGACAGAGGCACUGUUAGUGGGUGGUUCCCUAGACCAGAUGGCUGGGAGGUCACCUGUUCUUGAUGGAGUUACAAAUCCUCUGAAGGAGCAGGUUCAUAGCUUGGGGGUACUCCUGGAUCCUUUGCUGUCACUCAAGGCUCAGAUGGCCUCAGUGACCUGGAGUGCCUUCCUUCAGCUUCAGCUGGUGGCCCAGCUGUGCCUCUAUCUGGACAAGGAUAGCCUAACUACUGUUGUCUAUGCUCUGGUAACCUCAAGGUUAGAUUACUGGAAUGUGUUAUAUGUAGGGCUGCCUCUGAAGAUGGUUCAGAAACUUCAGCCAGUGCAGAAUUCAGUGGCCAGGUUGCUCACUGGAGCAAGACAGUUUGAGCAUAUUACACUGAUCCUGGUCUAAUUGCACUGGCUACCAAUGAGUUUCGGGGUCCUAUUCAAAGUGUUGGUUUUGACCUAUAAAGCCUUAAACAGCUCAGGAGUGCAAUACCUCAAGGACGGCCUCUUACCUGGACUCUGAGAUCAUCUUCUGGGGCCCUCCUCCUACAAUGAGAGGUUCAGAGGGUGGCAACAUGAGAACGGGCCGUGUCUGCUGUGGCUCCCCCUCUGUGGAAUGCUCUCCCCAUGGAAGUUUGCCUGGCACCUUCCUUAUACAUCUUUAGGCACCAGGCAAAAACGUUCCUUUUUAACCAGGCUUUUGGUUGAUCUGAUUGACAUCUUUUUUAAAAUGUGGUUCUUUUAUUGAGGGGUGUGUGUUAUUGGAUGGUUGUUUUAUUUUGAUUAUAUAUAUUGUGGUUUUUAUGUUGAUCUUUUCUGUGAAAUGCCCUGAGACCUCCGGGUAUAGGACAGUAUAUAAAUUCAACACAUCAUCAUCAUCACCAAAGCAGGAGAGGAGAGCUGCCCACCUGUCAAUCACUAGAUGUCAUUAUGACAUCAGGUCACACUGUGCUUUGACGUCCCAAUUGCUCUGACUGCAAAGUGCAACGCAGAGCUUUUUCUCUUCUCACUAUUCUUUAAACCAAAAAUGUGGAGGUUCAAAAAGCAGCACUGGGAGAGCUGAAACUGCUAUUAAAAUGGAGAUUUCCCCCUCCAUUUUUACAACAGUUUCAAUGGAAACACAUUCCCCUUCCUGGAACAAGGUGUGCUCCCACCACCCAUCAGCUGGGCAGAGGGAGUGUGCCUUGCACCAACAAAGAAACUUUUGGGAGCUCACUUUAAGCUUCCCAUUGUUCCUUUGAAGCCCUGCCCUUACCUGACAUCAUGUAGGACAUUAGGUACAGGAUGGGUGUACAGUGGUGCCCCGCAAGACGAAUGCCUCGCAAGACGGAAAACCCGCUAGACGAAAGGGUUUUCCGUUUUUGAGUUGCUUCGCAGGACGAAUUUCCCUAUGGGCUUGCUUCGCAAGACGAAAAUGUCUUGUGAGUCUAGAGAUUUUUUUUCCGCUUCCCCCCCCCUUUAUCUAAUCUGCUAAGCCUUUAAUAGCCUUUAAUAGCCUUUUAGCAGCUAAUCCCCUAAGCCUUUAAGCCUUUAAUAGCCGCUAAACCGCUAAUAGCGCUAAUCCGUUAAGCCGCUAAUAGGGUUGCUUCGCAAGACGAAAAAACCGCUAGACGAAGACUCUCGCGGAACGGAUUAAUUUCGUCUUGCGAGGCACCACUGUACAUGGCUUGCCCCCAAACCAUGCUGUGGGCCAGGUGAAGAGAUGUGGUGGGCCCUUAUUUAAGGAGAUUUGACUCUCAGCUGAAUGUUCUUGCCAUUUCUUUUUUUUCCAUCUGCAGAGCACUCUCCAGACAACAGUACAAUCUCCUAAUAGAUACUUAAAUAUUAGACUUUGAAAUGCCUUCGGGCAGAACACAAACUUGAUUUUCCUUCUUAUCUGGCACAUUGACUGAUGGAGACCAUCCAUGUUUGUAUUUUAAAGAGAAAAUGUCAAAACAGGGAGUAAUUUUUAAAAAGUGGGGUAACCCAAUGCCUUUCAUUAUUCCUAGCUGACAUAGAACACAAAGGCUAUUUAAUGGGUUUGAAUGUUAAAUUUUGCCAAGGAAAAUUGGAUUUAGGUUGAGGCUCACUACAGUCGUAGCACAUUUGGUAAAACACUCCAGUCGCUUGUUCCACAUUUCGUGCAUCUUUAAAUCCAAUUAAUUUCUUUGGAGUUCCAACACGUGCUCUAAGCACUUCGUUAGAGAGAGAUGGAUUUUCGGUACUUACCUGGCUGCUCUUGUUACCAACAGAGGAGAAUUGGGUGUCCCUUCUUACGAUGAUUCUACUGAGGCUCAGACAAAUCCCCCACACAACCACGCAAUUUUGCUGCCUCAUUCACAAGUGGAAAAAUUCAGGGGGAUCUGGGGGAUUUUUUGGGACAUUCAAAAUUUUCUGCCUCCAGCACAGAAUUAUAUAGACAGCAUCAAUUUCCUUAAUUAUAGAUUAGCACAUGGUGUUGAUCUCCAAUCUCCUUUGGCAUGCAAAAAGUUCCAGAUUCAAUUCUUGGCAUCUCCAGGUAGGACUCAGAGAGAACCCUGUCUAUAAUCCUGGACAGUCACUGCUAGUUAGUGUGGCCACCACACCUCAGAAGGGUAUGGUACUUCACAUCAAAUAAGAUAUUGUAGAGUUACAAAUGGCAACCAAAAUGAACAAGGGGAUAGACAAUUUGAUCUGAGACCCUGAAAUCAUCAUCUGAGGCCCUUCUUCAUGUGCUUCCUUCCAUGAGAGGUCUGGAGUGCAGCAACACAAGAACUGGCCUUUUAUGUUUAGGGGUUGGACAAAACCAUUCCUGUUCUCUCAGGCCUUUGGCUAAAUAAGCAAUCUAUGGCUAUUUAAGCUCUUUGUGUGGCAAGGGUAAUGUUUUUGUUACUAUGUUAUGUAGUUUCGUGUUUUUACAUUGUAAACCACCCCGUGAUCCUUGGAUGAAGGGUGGCAUAGAAAUUUAAUAGAAGACAAUUAAAAAUAACAAGAAGCAUUGAGGCGAGACACAUCCAUCAGAGUUAUCCUCACUUUGUAGCAAAUGUAAAACUCCAGAUGAUGGGCAAGAACAAAGGACAGAGAAGGAGGUUUUGCCUGUGCCUGACUACCUCUAUCUUAAUACUGGGGUACGUGUGCACUGAUUAUCUGGCCACUUCUCUAAGCAAGUUUCCAAAAUGCAUUCAGAUAUAUGUCAUGUUGUGACCUUUAGAUAAUGACUUUGUGGUGUGAUGGGAUGAAGUGUAAGGCAUGCUUGUUGUUGUUUUGUGUCUUGUGGUGGAGGCUAGAUUUUCUCUCCAACUACCCUCCAUGAAUAAUUAUAUCUCAAAGGGUGGGGAACCUUUUCACCUCAAGGUCUGUAUUCUUUCCUGGGGAACUAUCCUAGGCUGAAUGCUAGAGGUAAAGGUGAGCAGAGCAAUGGAGACACACCUGGCUUUGACCUAAAGGUAAAUGUAAAGGGACCCCUGACCAUUAGGUCCAGUUGUGAACGACUCUGGGGUUGCGGCACUCAUUUUGCUUUAUUGGCCAAGGGAGCUGGCGUACAGCUUCCAGGUCAUGUGGCCAGCAUGACUAAGCCACUUCUGGCGAACCAGAGCAGUGCACAGAAACGCCGUUUACCUUCCCGCCGGAAUGGUACCUAUCUAUCUACUUGCACUUUGACGUGCUUUCCAGCUGCUAGGUUGGCAGCAGGGACCGAGCAACGGGCGCUCACCCCAUCACGGGGAUUCGAACCGCCGACCUUCUGAUCAGCAAGUCCUAGGCUCUGUGGUUUAACCCACAGCGCCACCUGCAUCCCAGCGGCUAUGACCUAGGGAUGGGCAAAUCGGUCAAUUUCAGUACCUAUCAGUUUCUCAUUUCAGUUCUCUGUGCUUCCACAUCAGUUUGCAUUUCAAAAAAUCAUAGUAUUGAAAACUAGUCAAUGCUUCAGUGCAACUUUCUCCUAACAUACACAUCUGUGUACAAUUCUGCCUAAGAGAAUGAGCACUGUUUUCACCCAUGUACACUUUGUCUUAGUGUAUGCACUUUUAUACACACUACUACUACAAAAUUCAUAGCAUUUCCAAUCUUGAAGAAUGGCUGUAUUUUGGUUUCCUUUUUGUUCUGGGGAUGCAAAUUGGGUAGAUUCACCUUUAAAUGAGAGCUGAAUUGAAUGUCUCCUACUAUUCCUCUUCACUUUGUACAGUGGGCUGUUUCAGCCAUGCUAAACACCCACUCAUCUCUCCAGCCACCAUUUGGACAAUCAGGAAGCACUGUCACAGUUCAAGGACACGUUCAGGUUAGGCAAUAACACUUGAGGAAUAAGUAGAGUAGGGUUAGCAAUGGGCAUGGCUUGCAGACCAUCCUGAGGGCCAGGAUGAAUUUCUUUCUGGAGGACCAUGUUUAGCACCCAGCCUGAGGUUCCCCACUCCCGGUGAAGAGAAACCAAUUCUGUUGCCACUCCUGCAGAUUGGUGUUGCAAUGUACGUCUUCCCCAAAACAUCAUCUUCUCCCUUAUCAUUACUUAUCAUUGUUAUUAUAUCAUUUGUGUCUUUGAGGCCCCUGAGGUUCCAGGGCUACAUGGAAGGUCGUUGGAACCCAAAACCCAAUCCAUACAUUGAGGUGCAAUAAGACCAUUGGGUAAUGGGGCCACAUUCCACCCCUAAAUCAUGUGUAAGAGCAACACCCAAAAUAGCACUUUCAGGUGAAACCCUAAAGCAAUUCUAACAGGGGAUGUGAAUUAAAAAGGGAGAGGAACCUGCCACUUUUUAGUUUGAUGGAUGGUGGUUCUACCAGGCACGUCCAACAGGUAGAUCAUGAUCUACCGGUAGAUCAGUGGAUGCCUGUGGUAGAUCACUGGUAGCUUUGUGGCUCCCCCCAAAGAAGCUCAACAAAUUUGACUCCCCCCCCCCCCCAAUAAACAGGGCUUUCCUCCCUAAAUAAAAGCUCAACAACUUUGAGGGGUAGAUCACUGCCAGUGUUUAACUCUGUGAGUAGAUCAUAGUCUCUUGGGAGUUGGCCACCCCUAGUGUAAUAACCCUUUUUUUUUUUUGUAGCACCCAUGUCUAUAUUAUUACUAUUACUAUUUUGAUUGAUUACUCAUCCUUCACCCUAAUUUAAAACACAACGUUAAAACCAUUUUAAAACAAAUGACAAUCACAUGAAUGGGAUGGAUCCUAAAAAAUAUACAUUUCUAGUGUCAAAAGCCAUGAAAAAGCAGUGCAUCUUCAGCAUAUGACGAAAACUGAAUGGUGAAGGUGCCAGGCUCACCUCCGUCCAGAGGGAGUCCCACAACUUAGGGGCUGUCCCUGAGAAUGACCUCUCCUGGACCAUACACAGACACAAGAGUUUCUGAGGGUGGUGGAACUACCCGAAUGCCCCCCUCUGCUGCUCUUGACACUCAAGAGGCCCAGAAGAAGGUGGUCUUUUAGGGCCUUAAAAGUCAUUUAGGGCCUUAAACACUAACGUGAGUCCCUUAAACCGGGCCUGGAAAUGGACUGGCAAUCAAGUUAUUAGAGGAUGGAGUCUUUGCCAGCAAUCUAGCUGGUAUAUUUUGGAUCAGUUUGAAGUGCAGAUAGAAAAAAAAAGUCCCCCUGGGCUACUGAAAAUUACAAAACUUCUCUAGCAACUGAAACACACAGGGAUUGAGUCUGUGCACAAAUGAAAGCAUCCGUGAGUGGGGAGGUUGAGAGAUAGCGGGGCCUAUCUGCAGCUCCAAACGUUUUGGUCGAGAGAACAGAUAAGUUCCCCUUUCAUUCAAAGUGGUUAAUGGCUCGGUGAUUUCAAGCCUCUUUCCCAUCAAAUGUAUGAAUUUUUAAUCCUGUAAUUGCAUGUCAUCCUAAAUGCCCCAUGUGCUUUUCUUAUUUAUCCAUCCAUUUCUGUUGUAACAGGUAAAUGCUUUCUCUCUCUCUCUCUCUCUCUCUCUUUCUCUAUUAUGUGCUUUCGUGGGAGAGGGGGAAAGAAAUCUCAUUGUUAAUUCUCUCUCCCCCCCUCCCCCAUCACCCUGUAAUGGAACAAUAGGAUGAACAGUUUUCACUAGCGAAUGUGCAGGAAGUGAAGUGGAAUGGAGGGAGCUGGUCUCCAAUGACUUCUUCAUUUGAAGCAGCCCUCUGAUGGAGCAAGCUUCCAAGAAAUGCUGUGGUCUCUCUCUUUCUCUUUCUCUUUCUCUCUCUCUCUCUCCUUCCCUCCCCCCUCUCUCUUCUCCCCAUUUACUCUUGAAAAUGAAAAUGACAUUGAUGAUAACAGAAAAAUUAAUUAUUGCAGAGAUUCCUGAAAGAAAUAGUCUACAGAUAACAAAGCCUGUGUCUGUUGGAUACAUCUGUUUCAUUCUGCUGCUGCAAAAACUCCAGUGAAAAACUCUUUCUGAAAAGAGUUAUGAAAGUUCAGGAAUGUCCAAUCCUUUGUUUCAGAAACAGCCACUCAUCUCCAAAACUUCUCCAAUUGCCUUAGCUUUGUUAGGUCUGCUGUGAGGGUCUUGAGGAGAGACACUGCCUGCCUGAAUGGGAUUUUUUUAAAAAAGGAUAAAAACUCACCAAAGGUCAUGCCUGGGUGUGGGAACUUUUCAUUAGAGGCCAUAGCAUCGUGAGACAACAUUUGUUAGGAAAAAAUGUAGCAGCAGUCAUUUUAGACCAGCCUUUCUCAACCUGUGGGUCCCCAGAUGUUGUUGAACCGCAACUCCCAUCACCCCUAGCUAGCAAGGCCAGAGCUCAGGGAUGAUGGGAGUUGUAGUCCAACAACAUCUGGGGACCCAAAGGUUGAGAACCACUGUUUUAGACCAUCCCUUCCAGUUGCUAUGUUUUACCUCCACUGUUGGAAGGUAGUAAUGCUUCUGAGUGCAAGCUGUUGUAAACCACAGGAGGGGAGAGUUGGUCCUGCACUCAGGUCCUGCUUGUGAGCCUCCCAUGGGCAUCUGGUUGGCUACUGCGAGAACAGGAUGCUGGACUGGAUGGACCACUGGCCUGAUCCAACAAGGUUAUUACAUUCUUAUUAGGACUAUGCACAGCCCCAUUAGCCACCCCAUGGCCCUGAUCUGUAGCUCUUGGAUCAGGUCAAUCUUGUCCACUGCUAUCCCAAGGAUCACCCAGCUCGCAUCUUGUCAGGAGUGCGUGCAGGAGCCAGGCCCUGUGACUGGUAGGGCCUCGCAGGACUGGGGCCGUCCUGAGUUUGGCCUGGAAGGGCAAGGCGUGGCUGCACAGGUGAGGCUUAACAGAAGACUUGUAGCACCUGGUGGCAAGGGUAUAUAAGACCAGCAUUUCCCUCUGGCUCUUUGCCACAGCAACACGCUACCCACCUAGCUGUGCUUCAGCUUCUUGGUUUCCUGACCCUUGGACCCUUGGCUUCUUGACUCCUGGUUUCCUGACUUGUGGACUAUUGGCUUCCUGACCCCUGCACUGCUGAUUCCUGCUUCCCAACCUUUACCCCUGUCCUGACGUACCAAGCAGGGACUCCGACUGCCUGUAACCUGGACCAUGACACGUCCAUCAGUACAGCAAUUCAGGGGUUGGGUGAAGAGAUUUUAAAACACUAUUUUAGCAUAUGGUUGGGAUGGAAGGAGGAGACAUUUCAUCCCUGUCUCCCCACUUCCCGACUGAGAGCAAGCAGGUUUGACCACGUGGAGUUCUUCUUGAAAAGGAGCAGCAAUUGCUGCAUAGGAGGAUCUAAUCUUCUUACUUACCAGCUGGUAAGCAACGGGAUUCAAUCCUUAAGGAGGAGAGGGCCAGCAGGAUGAGUAUCCACCCCUACCUUCUGCAAAAAUUCAGCUGCCAGUUUAGUCCCUCCUUUGCACAAUUUAUUCUUUGCGCCUAACAUUCCAUCCUUUUACAUCCCCAGAUUACUCUGGAUCGUCUGACCUGAUGCACAGCAAGUUGAGGCUGACUCAACCCAACUCAGCCAAGACCCAGAUCCCACCCCCAAAGCAGCCCAAUUUGGUUCGGGACUCGGCUAAAUCCAGUGCACAGCCCUAGUUCUGUGGUGGCAGCAAUGUUACUUCUGUCAGUUCUAACAGCCAUCACUGUUAGUAUGGUAUAAUGGUGCUUUAAAUGUAUGGUUCUGAGAUGGCCUUUGUCUUCUUAAGUAUAUUGUGUAUUUCAGCAAUCAUCUUGUCACAUACUGAAUGCUGGAUCAUUUGAAUGAACUUGGCUUGAACUGCAAAUUGCAAACCUUCCAAGUGUCCCUAUUUUCCAAGUACAGUCCUGGAUUUACAGAAGCCGCCCCAGUUUCUGUUUUGAUCCUAGAAUGUCCUUCUUUCCCUUAGGAUGUCCCUAUUUUCAUCAGAGAAAUGUUGGAGGAUAUGGAGGUGUGCAACCCCCGAGCCAAGGAGAUAACUAACGAUACAGUCUUUAGAAGACCUCUGAAAGCAGCCCUGUAUAAAGAAGUUUUAAAUGUUUUAUGUUUUGUUAUACAUGUUGGCAGCCAGCCAGAGUGGCUCAGGCAACCCAGUCAGAUGGGCAGGAUAUAAAUAAUUUUUUUUAUUAUGGAAUAGGGUGUCCCUGUUUUCAUCAGUGAAACGUUGGAGGGUAUGAAACUGUACAUGAAGCAAACAAGUUGCUAUUGCUGGGGAUUUUUUAAGAGAUGAAAGUGAACUGGUACCAGUUCCUUUUCAGACCUGUUGAACUAGAACUGGCUCCCAUUUAAAAUGUACUUCCGAAGCUCCAGCCUCAGCAACAUCAGGUGGGGAAAGGAUGCAAAUGAACAGAAGCAAAGGGAAGCUUCAGCAAACUGCAGCUCAUCCCUAAUUAUUGGUUAUAACAUAUGAACCAUCUUUCUGCCUCCUUCUGUAUUCUUCGCAAUAAUUUCUAAGCAAGUCACCAAAUUGAAAUGUGGGAUGCAUUAAGGAAAAUGUUUGCUUAAGCAAGCUGGUUUCAACUCAAGAGUCAAUGGAUGGAUGCUUCAUCCUGGCUAAUAUCUAAUACGACAUGGCUGAGCAGGUACAUGAGAUAUUAAUGGCUUUGUAUUAGGAUGCAUGGUAAAUAUAAUUUGCCAAUAUCAUAUGGAUGAAGCGACCAUUACUCCAGAGGCUAAAUUUGUUUUUUUAUGCUGUCAUAAAUUUUAUUUUCCUAGGGAGCUUGGCCAAGUAUUGCUUCAAGCCCAUUCCCCCCCUCCUAGUUAUUGAUUAUUGUUUUUUUUUGCAGAGUGGGGGUAGUAUAUAAACUAACUCCAAGGAGAACUAGAUAUAAUUUUGAUUAAUUACACAAGUAUUCCUGGCACUAAUUUGUGACAAGUGCAUGCUUUGCUACCCAUCAGUGCCUGUACUUCAGUCAGGUGACCUUCUCACCCCCCUUGAUUCACGAUGGGGAACACUUUGAUGAAUGAGAUCUUUCUAGGUGACCUUCCACCCAAGAACACAGAUGUGUUUCAUCAUUGGAUGUAUGAUGAAAUUUGGAUGACUGCUCCCUCCUCCCUCCACAAAACCCCCUCUGAGAAUGAUAUAUACUGAAGAAGAGAGAGAGAAAGUGACAGGGAGAGAUUGAAAUCUGUAAAGUGUGUAAUUUAAUGCAUAAAAUCGAGUAGCGUCUCAGGGAGACAAGUCCAACCUAUGGCCCAAAUGGCAAUAUCCUUUUGUUAACGCUGGGAGGGAGUGUGGAGUGUGGAGAGAGACAAAACAAUCCUAGAUGCCUCCUAGGCAAGCUAAAGAUCAAAUAAGGCUGGGUGACCUGGAAUUAGGGAUGGUUGCAUAACUCAGUUUCUGUUUCUGAUUUCCCCAGUCUUAAAUUCAGUUUUCCACAUUUCCACAUCAGUUUGUGAUUCUUCUUUUUUUAAAAAAAACUUCAUGAAAAUUAAUCAGCCUUUUAUCACAGAUUUCUUCUGAUGUGCAGAUUUUUGUAUGCAAUUUUACUGAAUAUGCUUUUUUUAUUUUUACAAAGCAGUACUCCCUAAUACAUGCUCGUCGGUUAUUUUCACUAAUGUAUGCAUUUGUAUGCACAACUCUACCCUAAUAUAUGCAUGUUUGUACAUAUUUUUUGGCUGGAGAACUGCACUGCAAAAUUUGGAGGCCUUGAUUAAUAAGUCAGAGGGGGAGGCGAGACGUUGCUCUGUUAUCAUGUUUGCAUUCUAAGUUCGAUGGCAAAUCUUCCCUGGAAAGACUGAUUUAUGGUGCAACUUGUCUGGGAAAAUGAAUGAGCAGACGCUUAGAUUUUAUUUCAUUGGAACUGAGAAAGAUGGCGCCUGCCGCCCGAGCAGGACUUUUGGAUCAGCGUGUGAAGAUUUAUUGCAAACAAAAGACUUACCAGCUUUAAAAAGGGAGAGCCUUACAAAGUUCACACAGAAGCAUAAUAAUGUUUACUUUAACUCGCCUGUGGAAACAUCUCAGAGGCUAUUAAGAAGAAAAAGGAUAACAACAAGAAGAUCGAAAGAUGGGAUUGGUGAACACUAAAAGCAGCAGAAAUAUGAGAUGACUGGACCCUUACUGAACUCGAAGCAUGGGAACCCCCAACAAAAAAUUUUAAUUUGGCAAAAUAUUUGGACUUUAUGAUAUGUAUUGGUAUAAUUUAGAAUAAUUAAUGUGAUAUGAUUGGAUUGUUAAAUGGAAAACUUAAUAAAAAUUAUUUUAAAAAUAAAAUAAAAUUGGAGGCCUUAGGAGAGUCUGGAAGAGCAGACUGAGAGAGCUAGAGAGCAACAUUUGUUACCCAGGCCUGAAAUUUUCACACCUUUACAUCCAAAUCAUCCUAAAAUAAAGAGCAAAUAAGAUACCAUAGGCAGAGGUGUACCUAGGGUUUGGCAAAAGCGGCUCCUACCGGGGAAGCCUGGGAGCCCCCUACCAAAAUCUCUUACUGUAUCAGACUAUGGAGCAUAUGAUGUACUUAUGUGCAGCGACACACUGUCGCUGUUGCAGCAAGAUCAAAUGCAACAGAAGCUUCCUGUUCUUCUUGCACCACUGUGAGACAUGUGAAUUAUUUUGCUCUUCCUCCUUGCCUCAACCUCAUUCUGGAUGCUUCAAGUACUUGGGUCAUGUAGCAAUUUCUAACGUGGCUAUUGCAGUAAAAUGAUUUUCUGGGGGUGGGCAGGCGAUCCAACACCUUGCCAAGAGCACAAAGGACUCUAGGUACACCUCUGAUCUCCGUGGUGGGUGCUUUUUGACUCGCCUCCUAGAAAUAGACCAGAAAUUCUGUUCAGCACAAUCCUGCGUAUAUCUACUCAGACACUCCAUUGAGCUCAAUGAGGUUUCCUGCUGGGAACUGGAUAAAGGGUUGCACCCUUAAUCUGAUUGCUGAUUUUCACAGCCCAGUAUUUAGAAAAGCUCAGAAAGCCCCUUCACCUCCUUGCCUUUCUGCUUCAAUGAAGGAACUUGCCAUAUGCCUCGCCGUGUAAGAAACCUGCGCUCAUUACAAUCUGACUUCAAAAGAAAGGAGGGGGGAGCCCUCUUCCUCUCAGUGGAUAAUUCUGUCUCAGAUGUGUUUAAAUAACAGAAUGAAAUUCUAUUAUAAAUGCAGCAUAAUUCAAUACAGCAUCUCAGCAUAUUUCCCUUUAGUGGGGCAAAUUCCUCCCAGUUAGACUUCAAGGGCCUUUUGCCGCUCGCUUCUAGCAAAUCAGACCAACUUGGGAUAAUCAUAAUUUUGGUAAAUCUGCUCAGCUAGGCUAAGUGUUUGUAUCGGGAGGUUUGUGGUUCAAGGCAGUUAAAGUAUUAUGAAGGAAGGACGGAGAACGUCUUUUGAAAAUCCCCAUUUAAUUAAGUUAUCCAUUGUCGUUCUCUGUCAAACUGAUGGUGGCGAUGAUAUUAUUUUUUUGAAAAUGUUUAUUUGGUAGGAUCACCUUUAAAUGUGAAGUUGAACUGAAUAUCUCCUGCAGUCCUCUUUGCAUGAUGGUAUAAAUAACGAUUUGAGCGAUUCUGAUACUGGUUGACGCUUUUCAAACAUGGUGUGGGACAAAUUGUGACAGAUGGCCUGUUGUCUAUUACUGUUUCAAGGAAGCCUGGCCCUUUGUUACCAGGGACUUAAGGCUAUUAGCAGUUAAACACCUUGUCUCUCAAUCAUUUUUGUCACUUGGCAGUUUUGUCCGAUUCCAAACAUUGCCCCAAUAGCAUUCCCCAUAAAUAAAUUAAGGGAGAAGAAACUCUACAGAUGCAGCUUAAAGACUAAUUCCCCUCCACCGCCUGAAUCACGGAGGGCUUUUCAGAGUGUUCAAAGCCAAAUCAUACUCCAGCACACAGGAUUUAAUUUGCAUCUGCCAACUUCAGAAGGGGGAUUUACUGGGCUAGGACAUUUGAAUUGCAUAAAAUUAUUAUUAUUAUCUAAUUAAACUAAGAUCAUGGGUGUUUUUUCACUUGCUGCAGAGAUAACCAUGAAGGCAAAACAGGCACUUUGUUCAAGGGGAGGAAAGCAGUCCUCCUUUUUCUAGAUAUGUUGGAACAACCACUUUAAUAAUCAUGGCUUUCUGAGAAGAAUUAUGGUAACCACAGAUUGCUGAGAGUUGUUAGAAGAUCCUUAUUCCGCUUCCCCCUGAGUUACACUUCCCAGAGUUCCCUGGGGAGAGGGAUUGAUUAUUAAAACAUGCUUGGAAUUGAAGUUUUGGGGGGAAUAGAGGUCUCCUAAGAACUUUCAGCACACCAAAAGAAUGCUGCCCCUUCUUCUUCUUCUUCUUCUUCUUCUUCUUCUUCUUCUUCCUCUUCCUCUUCCUCUUCCUUUUCGGGUGGGGCAUGUCUAUUAAAGCGAUUUAAUAGUAAAUUAAUGGUGUUUUAAAUGUAAGGUGGGUAUGUGUCCUAUGCCUUUCCUUAUCUCAUCUACCUUAGAUGCAGACUCCCCAACGCCCCUUUGGCUGCUCCUGUUGUGUGUUUUUUGGCAUCAGGCAAGGAAAUAUGUGGUGGUUGGUUCUGAGGACCUCACUUUUAUCUGUUCAAGAUUACAGUUGUGGAUGCACUAGUGCAGGGAUGGGGAACCUGUGGUCCUCCAGAUGUUGUUGGACUCCAACUCCCAUCAGCCCCAUGCAGCAUAGUCAACAAUCUAGUAUGAUGGGAACUGUAGGUCAAUAAUGUAUGGAAGGUCAUAGGUUCAUCAUCCCUGUGCUGGUGCAAGGUUAGGUAGUAGAAAGUUACAACCAUCUCAUACACAAGAAAAUCAUGCUGGAAGUACUCAAAUAUGUCGGUCAAGAUUUUCACUUACUACUGUGAAACUCAAUACAGCAUCACAAAUAUUGAACGUGCAAAGUCCCACCACUAAAACUUAAGAUUUACAAGGCAAACCCAUAAACCUAUUGAAAAAUAAUAAAACUGUGGAGCAGAUGUGAGGUUCACAGUCUCUGCUGCAUUGUUUCUCCUUUGAUUUAUCUGAUUAACUUGCAGGGUAGAAUUUCCUCAAGAAAACAUAAACCACUAACAUUGUAAAUGUUUCCUUACUGAUUGCUUUUAAAUGCUGAAUAGUCGGAAAGGUUAACGCUAUUUUUUGGUAUCAAUUUAAAUUCACUCAGAGCCAUUAGCAUUGAUCUAGUCAGAUCCUCAGGACAAUGCCAGCUAUGGAAAAAGUCUGUCUGAAUCAAAAGUACUAUGGUUGAAUCAGGACCUCUGGUUUGCAAAGACAUCAGACCUUAAUUUAAAAACCCCAAACUAUGAUAAAUGCUAUACACCCAGAAAUCAGUUCUUUUGACAGUUGUCAUCAAUUAUAAACGUUUGCAUUUUGCAUGACUAUGGGUGUACCAAAUUGAUUUUAGAGCCUGAUUUUGCCUUAACACAGUUUCCUUCUCAUUCCAGGUCUGUUAGAAGAUGACGUUGCUGCCAAGACCUGGCAAAGCUGGAAUUGGAUGAGGGCUCCCCAUCAGAGGAGGGCCACACCAUGAACCAGGACUAGAGAAAGACUGGGCAUCCCAUAGAACUUUAACAUCACACCUAGAGAACCUGCAGAAUGACCUAACGUACCCCAACUGGACCCAUAUCCUCAAGAGCAGCAACAGCACAAAGCAGUCCACAUCAGUUCUACUCAAGAGGAGGGGCCAUGGUGGGGUAGUCAGGCUUAACCCUGGUGGGGGAGAACUGGUGACUCUCUAGAUGUUGUUCAGCUCUCAUCAAAGAUGAUGGAAGUUGGCUUUCAACAGCAGCUGGAAGGCACCACAUUGACUCCCUUCGAUAUAAAUUCUCAGUGGCUGUCUGGAAGCGGUUGUAAGUGGUCCAGUCUUUACGACCUCAACAGCACUCUACCACCUCAUUCUGCAAGUAUGGUGGAUAUGAUGAAACACUUUAAAGUCCAAUUGAUUUCAGCGGAAGAGAUGUAAGCAUGGGGGGUUCACCUCUCCCAUGGGAGUGAAGGAGGAAGGGAACUAUGGGUGAAUCAUGUUCAUAAUAAAUAAGGCUUCUAUUCUGACUUUGCUUACUUGGGAGUAAGCAUCACUGAUUUCAGCAGGGCUUACUUCUGAGUAGACACAGUUAGACCUGCACCAUAUGCUAUCAUGUAGGAGCAGCACAACGUUCCUUGG